rnacentral:lncRNA from 1 species
GAAGAAGAAGAAGAAGAAGAAGAAGAAGAAGAAUACAAUAAUAAUAAUAGUGUAUUUACAGAUUUUCCCAAGUGUUCAAAAAUGGUUUGUUGUCCAGCGUUAUACACUUAACUCGACCGGUGCACGGUUUGCAUAGUGGACAACUUUGUACUUUGUCCUGAUUUUUUUUUCCCUCAAAGUAAGAGGCUUGAUUCCCCCCCGACUCCACCCGGCCCCCCUCCUUUAGGUUUUCCUAGGUUUCGUCGCCGCCUAUGUUAGUUACAGCCGUUUCUGACAGGCCUACCAGGGAAGAUGCUCAAGGAAAACGAUGUUCUGUCAAGCUGCUUGGGGAAAUCUUAGUGCUUAAUGUUUAACCGGGGGGAGGAGGCGAACCUCAUAAUAGUUGUGCCCUGUGGGGAAGACUUCUGUUGGGCUGGCGAGAAGAGAAGGGGCCGAAACUUGCUUUUUGCUGAAAGGAAGAGAAAUCACAGAGUUGCAAAUCCUCCCUGCUCAGCUUCAUCAGCACUUAAUACCAUUUGCUCGAGCUCCUGGGUGAGAGCUACAAAACUAGUCCCUGAGCCCAGUGGGAGGAUCCACUAGUCCACACCCUCGACCUCUGUCAGCCUCUUCAGCCCCUUCUCGCUUGAGGAGAAUGUGAUCGUUGUUACAGGCAUCAGAAAAAGGCAAGUUGGGGAAGGCAUACAAGUACCAACUAGGUGUCUCUUUCUCCAAGGAGCUCCACAAAAUAUUCCAUCCAGAGUGCAGAUGAUGGUAGGUAGUCUUUAAUUUACACAGGUGUCUUCCCAGUAGGUUUACGGGAGAAUCAAGAGAAUGAAAGAACACAUGUUCCUCAGUCAGAGGGCCUAUCUGUAUGGGAACUGCCAGCGAAAAGUAACAAGUAGAAAGUUUACCCGGAAAAUCAACAACCUGCAUUGAUCUAUCACCAGAUGAAAAUUGGGAAAUUUCAGAGGAACUUGAAGCAUAAGUAGCACCAAAGGGCCGGGGGCAGUGGCUCACGCCUAUAAUCCCAACACUUGGGGAGGUGGAG